rnacentral:tRNA from 1 species
GCGGCCUUCGUAUAGUGGCAAUACCUCAGCUUCCCAAGCUGAAGCGACCGGUUCGAUUCCGGUAGGCCGCUCCA